rnacentral:rRNA from 1 species
GACAAACAGGUCGAGUUAAAUUACGGUUGGUAAAAAAGGAAGUUAGAAGAAUUUAGUUUGUAUAAGAGAGAUGAAUUUCUUUUGUAGGAGUAAAAUCUGUGCAAAAGAAGGUGGAUUAUGAGCUCCCUAUUGUUUUGAUACUUCGAAAGUUAGUGAGGAGACCGGGGUUAGAUAUCCCGUUAUUUUUAUUUUAAAAUUUGGUUUUGUUUUGACCUACCUGAGUACUACGGAUUAAAUUGCGUGAAUAGGCAUUAAUUUGUUAUGUGGCAAUUUUUUUAUUUAAAACUCAAAAGACUUGGCGGUGCCUUAAUUCUUGCCAGGGGAACCUGUCCUGUAAUCGAUAAUCCACGUUUUAACUUACUUUUCUUUGAAUAUAAGCCUAGUGGCAUAUAUCAGCCUGUAUACCGUCGUCGUCAGAUUACCUUUAGAGAGUAAAGAAGUUGUCGGGAGAAUACUGCUUAGGUGCUGAGGUGCUGAGUCAGAUUGACAAUGUACUUGGAGCUUAGGUGUGUUUUAAUGUCAGAUCAAGGUGCAGCCCAUAGAAAAGGAGAGAUGGGUUACAGUAUAAAUUUAAUCUGGAGCUUGGAAUGUAAUUUUUAGGUGAAAUUGGACUUGGAAGUAAUAUAGUAGACUAGUAAGUAGUUAGUCUGUGUGAACGUUGUGCUAAGGUGCGU